rnacentral:rRNA from 1 species
GAUGACCGAUAGAGGAGCAGUACCGUGAGGGAAAGGUGAAAAGGACCCCGGGAGGGGAGUGAAAGAGAACCUGAAACCUUGUGCUUACAAGCAGUCAGAGCACGUUAACGUGUGAUGGCGUACUUUUUGUAGAACGGUCCGGCGAGUUAUAGUAACGAGCAAGCUUAAGGUAUUCAGUACCGGAGGCGAAGCGAAAGCGAGUCUGAAUAGGGCGCAUGAAGUUCGUUGCCAUAGACCCGAAACCGGGUGACCUACGCAUGAGCAGGUUGAAGUGGGGGUGAAACCCCAUGGAGGACCGAACCAACCCCCGUUGCAAUGGUGGUGGAUGACUUGUGUGUAGCGGUGAAAUUCCAAUCGAACUCGGAGAUAGCUGGUUCUCCCCGAAAUAGCUUUAGGGCUAGCGUUAGUUUAGAUUACCGGAGGUAAAGCACUGAAUGGUUUAGGGGCUGAUAAAGUUACCGACGCCUAUCAAACUCUGAAUGCCGGAUAAUUGAUGACUAGCAGUCAGACAGUGUGAGAUAAGUUUCAUUGUCAAAAGGGAAACAGCCCAGACCUACAGCUAAGGUCCCAAAUGUAUGCUAAGUGGAAAACGAUGUGGAGUUGCGAAAACAACCAGGAUGUUGGCUUAGAAGCAGCCACUCAUUAAAAGAGUGCGUAAUAGCUCACUGGUCGAGUGACUCUGCGCGGAAAAUAUAACGGGGCUAAGCGUAACACCGAAGCUUGGGCUGCACAGCAAUGUGCGGGGUAGGGGAGCGUCGAAUAUGGGGUGAAGUCGCAGCGGAAGCAGCGGUGGACUGUAUUCGAGUGAGAAUGCCGGAAUGAGUAGCGAGAAUUAUGUGGGAAUCAUAAUGGCCGAAAAUCUAAGGUUUCUUGGGGAAGGUUCGUCCGCCCAAGGUAAGCCGGGAGCUAAGGCGAGGCCGAAAGGCGUAGUCGAUGCACAUACGGUUGAAAUUCCGUAGCCACCGAAACUUAAACCAGAAGGACACUUGGAGCUAUCCGAACCCGGGCGUUGGUUGACCCGGGCGUAAGGGACCGAAAUUAAGUAGGGAAGUCGGAGAAUGACGAGGCGAGAAAAGUUCUGGUGUAUGCUAAGGUGCCCGUACCGCAAACCGACACAGGUAGAUGAGGAGAGAAUCCUAAGGCCAACGGGAGAAGGGUUGUUAAGGAACUCGGCAAAAUUACCCCGUAACUUCGGGAUAAGGGGAGCCCCCUACGGGGGGCCGCAGAGAAUAGGCCCAAGCGACUGUUUACCAAAAACACAGGUCUAUGCUAAAUCGAAAGAUGACGUAUAUGGGCUGACGCCUGCCCGGUGCUGGAAGGUUAAGAGGAGAGCUUAGCGCAAGCGAAGGUUUGAAUUGAAGCCCCAGUAAACGGCGGCCGUAACUAUAACGGUCCUAAGGUAGCGAAAUUCCUUGUCAGGUAAGUUCUGACCCGCACGAA